GCAGGUGAAUGGGCCUUAUCCCACUUUUCCAGGCUAAUCAGGGCCCAUGACGGGGGUGGUUCUGGUGGCUGUCGGGGAGGUGGCUAUGAAGAUCCUGCUUCUCUACUUCUGCCUUAUCCUCCUCAGAGUGAGGUCCUGCAGGAGGAAGGCAGCAAGGGCAGCAUUGGGCAUGGAGGCUUCAGACACUGUCACGGACUAAUCUCCAGACUCCAGACUGCUUCCAGAUGCCACCUCAUCCAGUUCCUCCACAGUCUGAGCGGCCGUGUUUCCUCUGCAGGCCUUGCAUGGUCUGUCCCCUGCUGGACUCUCCUGAUCCCUCCUUUCCCUGCGUCACCCAACAUCUCCCCAAACCCUCCGGGCCAAGGACUCUGUGGCUCUGACACUUUGCACGUGUAGUUUCUUCUCCUGAAACACCCUUCCCUCCUGCCAAACCAUGU